rnacentral:ncRNA from 2 species
UUCUUAUCAAGAGAGGUGGAGGGACUGGCCCUAUGAUGCCCGGCAACCUGAAUGUAUUUACAUUCAAUGGUGCUAAUUCCAGCAGGUAAUAUAACCUGAAAGAUGAGAG